rnacentral:miRNA from 1 species
GGCGGGGGUGGGGGUGG